CAGACUGCAUGGAUCGGAGUGCUAGCCCUGCUGCUCUCCAGCUGAGGACUAGCUACUGAACCUCUCUGUGCCUCAGUCUCCUCGCCUGUCAAAAGGGGUCCACAGGGACUCCCUCCUGGGGUCGUGGGGAAGACGAGCUGUGAGCAGGUGCGGACUGUGACUCGAACAGUGGGUGUGGGGUGAAGACUCCCUGGUGUCCCUAAGUGGUGCAAAGAGUGUGUGCACUGCCCCCGCCUGGCCCCUGCCUCACCAGCUGCUCACCAAGCACUUGAGGGUGGGCGUCCACCCUGAGUGGCCGCAGAGGAAAGGCCUGGUGAUCUACUGAAAAGUCAGCACUGAAAGCCCUCCAGAGCACAGUGCUUGUUGGUGAGCCUUAGUGAGAGGAAGUCUGAGGACUUAGGGGGUACAGAAGGAUGUGCACUUGACCUUAAUCCCCACCCUGUGAGGGGUGACCCUGUGAUACCUACUCCUCUGAUGGGGUCUCCACUGAGGGGCUGAGUGGUCCGGGGAUGCGGGCGCUCCCUGGGCACGGACCAUCUCAGAGUUCCUCCCCACCGCUCCUCCGAGGUUCUGCAGUGGCCCUCUGCCCUCUGAGUGCUCCCCAACCCCCUCCAAGCACCGCUUGUUCUUUUCCUCCCGGGGCUGAGAGAAUGGCAGGCUGCCCAGCUGGGCGGGCACAGGGCCCAGCUCCUUGGUUGGUGUGUGUGUGUGUGUGUGUGUGUGUAGGGGAGGGUGCAGGUGAGGAUGGACAGUUCGGAUCACAGAGCUGCGAGCUCUACGGAGAUGGCCGGCCCGUGAGCCACUCCCCACACCCCGAGUCCUGAGGACGUUUGGCUCAGAACCACGCCCAGCUUGCAACGCCUGACCCACCCUAAGGGAACCUUCCUCCACCGACCCAAGGAGCCUGGGAGAAAGCAGAAGGCUCAGGUACUCACCAUGGCCAGCACCCUGGAAAUGCUCUGGAAUAAAUACACCUGGGCCUUAGAAAACGGAGACCCCAGAACGGACUCCUGGUUUCUGGUGUCCUCGCCACUCCCUGUCGCACUCCUGGUUGUCUUCUAUCUCCUGAUGGUGGUGGCCGGCCCUCGAUUUAUGGCCCGACGGGAGCCCCUGAGGCUGGCAGGACCCCUCACUGCCUACAACCUGGGCCUGGUGGGUCUCUCAGGGUACAUCUUCUAUGAGGUAAGGAGGGUGAGAGAAGCCUGAAGUGUUGAAGUGGGGCGUCCAAGAACUAAGAAGUCCACGUGAGAUUACUCAACAAGCACCAGGAGCUCAGGCUGACUUUGCGCAACGGGUUCCCCCCUCCGGUCGUUGAUGUUAGAGGCCGUCCGGUUGGGUCUCACCCCUGGGAGGCCCGUCCACACCAGAAUGACGCCCUGCCCGGCCCCACUCCUUCCUCACAGUGGCUGUUUGCACCCUUGUGUCAGUCACAGUGCCGAGCCACCUCCUGGAUGGUCGUGCUCUUUCCCAUGAGCCCUCUCCUCUGCCAAGCAGGAUGCCCUUCCCUUGCUAGAGACCAUGCACGAAGAUGCUGAGUGCACAAAGGGGCUCAUGCCAACCAUACCUG